rnacentral:rRNA from 1 species
GACGAACGCUGGCGGCGUGCUUAACACAUGCAAGUGGCGCGACGAACCAGGGCUUGCCCUGGGGCAGAGCCGCGAACGGGUGAGUAACACGUGGGCAACCUGCCCCGAUGACUGGGACAACCCGGGGAAACCCGGGCUAAUACCGGAUGUGCCCGCUCCACACCAGUGGAGCGUGUAAAGGAAGCUUCGGCCUCCGCAUUGGGAUGGGCCCGCGGCCCAUUAGCUUGUUGGUGAGGUGANGGCCUACCAAGGCGACGACGGGUAGCCGGCCUGAGAGGGCGACCGGCCACACUGGGACUAAGACACGGCCCAGACUCCUACGGGAGGCAGCAGUGGGGAAUCUUGCGCAAUGGGCGAAAGCCUGACGCAGCGACGCCGCGUGAGGGAUGACGGCCUGGU